UACGAGGGGGGCGAGCGUUGUUCGUAAUUAUUGGGCGUAAAGGGUGCGUAGGCGGCCUGACAAGUCUGAUGUGAAAUCCCUGGGCUCAACCCAGGGCCUGCAUCGGAAACUGUCGGGCUUGAGUAUGGGAGAGGUGAGUGGAAUUUCCGGUGUAGCGGUGAAAUGCGUAGAUAUCGGAAGGAACACCUGUGGCGAAAGCGGCUCACUGGACCAUUACUGACGCUGAGGCACGAAAGCUAGGGGAGCAAACAGG
rnacentral:rRNA from 1 species